rnacentral:pre_miRNA from 1 species
CACUAAUGGAGGGAGUCCCUCAGACAGGAUUGCAAGAGGGUGCAGGCCAGGCCGAGGGACUCCACCAGUGCACA